CACCGGCAGCUCUAGUGGUAACAAUUUUUAUUGGGCCUAAAGCGUCCGUAGCCGGUUUAAUAAGUCUCUGGUGAAAUCCUGCAGCUUAACUGUGGGAAUUGCUGGAGAUACUAUUAGACUUGAGACCGGGAGAGGUUAGAGGUACUCCCAGGGUAGAGGUGAAAUUCUGUAAUCCUGGGAGGACCGCCUGUUGCGAAGGCGUCUAACUGGAACGGUUCUGACGGUGAGGGACGGAAAAGUUAGGGGGCGCGAACCGG
rnacentral:rRNA from 1 species